rnacentral:rRNA from 1 species
AUUGAACGCUGGCGGCAGGCCUAACACAUGCAAGUCGAACGAGUGGCGGACUGUUGAGUAAUGUCUGGGAAACUGCCUGAUGGAGGGGGAUAACUACUGGAAACGGUAGCUAAUACCGCAUACCAUCGGAUGUGCCCAGAUGGGAUUAGCUAGUAGGUGGGGUAAAGGCUCACCUAGGCGACGAUCCCUAGCUGGUCUGAGAGGAUGACCAGCCACAAUGGAACUGAGACACGGUCGAGACGGCUACGGGAGGCAGCAGUGGGGAAUAUGGCACAAUGGGCGCAAGACUGAUGCAGCCAGGCCGCGUGUAUGAAGAAGGCAUUCGGGUUGUAAAGUAAUUGCAGCGGGGAUGCGUUACCCGCAGAAGAAGCACCGGCUAACUCCGUGCCAGCAGCCGCGGUAAUAC